GACCACCUCCCCGUCUCCCCACAGACUGUACGGCCCAAGCGAGGAUUUUCACGAAAACAUCAACCGCAAACUGCUUCCCAGUGCCAGCAGGAACGUUACUACGACGAACGGAACCCGGCGCUAUGGAUCCAACGGCAUGACAGCCGAGUCGAUGGCGUUUUUAAAGUUGGAUAACGGUGUUUGGUCUUAAAGAGAGACGUCAGAAGCGUAAAGCAGAUUUUACGGCAAUGAAUACGGUAUCACUUGUUAGAUAGAAAGAAAGACAGAGAGAGAGAGAGAGGGGGGGGGCCGAAGUGGACUCCCUCCCACGGUCGAGCCGUUCCGCCCGAUGGAGGCUGACGGGACCUUUGCAGUGAGCUCGAGGCCCGGAAUGUUACCUGUAAAACGUCGACACCUCGUUGGAGGACGUAAUUAAGGAAAAUACCGCGCACACCUGUCUGCGCUUCCGAAGAAUUGUCAACUUCUUAGUUAGCCUGCAUUCAAAAACAAAAGUUAUCUGGUGAACGUUAGCUGCGGGUGGCGUCCCCUCGCGCAAGAUGACUAACAUAGAAAUCACUUAACGGGGGUUCUUGGCCGCCUCAGGUAUAGCACAGGUGAACAGCGCUCUAAAGCCGAGUCACGGACUUCACGCGUCUUUCUUCUGAUGGCUUUGUUUUAAAAAGUUGACUCCCAACUCAUUUGGUUGCGACAAUUGAGCAGUUUUUGUCUUUCAAAACAAGAACUUCCUGGAUUUAUUUUCUCAUCAAGUGUCACCUUUUUCGCCAACCAUGUCAUUCAAAGACAAUCCUUGUCGGAAAUUCCAAGCCAACAUUUUCAACAAAAGUAAAUGCCAGAACUGCUUCAAGCCCAGAGAAUCACAUUUGCUUAAUGACGAAGACCUAAACCAGGCAAAACCCAUUUACGGUGGAUGGUUGCUGCUGGCGCCAGAGGGAACAAAUUUUGACAAUCCGUUACAUAGAUCUCGGAAAUGGCAGAGGAGGUUCUUCAUCCUUUACGAGCACGGCUUACUUCGCUAUGCCCUGGACGAAAUGCCCAGCACUCUACCCCAGGGUACAAUCAACAUGAACCAGUGCUCCGACGUCAUCGAUGGAGAGUCCAGGACAGGUCAGAAGAACUCGCUGUGCAUCCUGACACCUGAGAAAGAGCACUUCAUACGGGCUGAGUGUAAAGAAAUUAUCAACGGGUGGCAGGAGGCUCUGACUGUGUACCCCAGGACCAACAAGCAGAACCAGAAGAAAAAACGCAAGGUUGAUGCACCCACUCAGCAGGGUGGAGAAACUGCAAGCCAGUGUUUUUCCACUGAAGACAUGAAUGGACACCCAUCUCUCUGUGACCUUACCUCCCAUUAUGUAAUUUCCUCUUCCCGUCCACUCCUUCCAACCCAAACCUGCACCCAGGAGCCUGGCCCUGCCAAGGUGACGGUGACCAGCAGCGGGGUAAGCAUCCCUUGUCUGCCCAGCAGCAUUGCCGGUGCUGAGCGAGUCCCAUUGAGCCGUGCCACUCUGUGGCAGGAGGAGAGCCGCUGGAGCAGGGCCACCAUCCCCUGUAGCCGCAGUGCCUCCUGCCUGAGCCAGCUGAGCCAGAGCCAGCCAGACUCCAGCCUCACUACUCAAGAUGAUGGCGGCACCGUUAGCACCGGACGCAAGGUUCGAGUGGAGAGUGGUUACUUUUCGCUGGAGAAGACCAAGUCAGAUCCUUUUCCACAGUCUCCACAGAACUCUCAUCCACCCCAGCCGCCCCAGCAUCUGCCCCUGUCCUCCUCAGCAUCCUCCUCCUCUUUAGGAGCUCUCAGUCCCAGGUACAACUCUGAGUCUGAAUCCCAACCUUCCCCUUAUCAACCCUCCCAAGAUUCUCUCCCUUCUCCAGGUGCACUUGUCUCUCCCAGCUACUCCACCAUCAGCUCCUCCCAGAGCUCGCUGGACUCCGAACCCAGUGGGACUAUACCCACCUGGGAGGGAUGCAGUGGUGGUGGAGGAAGCACCAGUAGUGUCAGUGGUGGAGGCGGCCGACUGGGCCGGUCUGGCAGGGAGUAUACUGCGCUGUCCGAUGUGCCACGGGCGCGCAGACUGAGUUACCGUGAAGCCUUCCGCUCAGAAAAAAAGCGGCAAGAGCUAAGGGCACGGACACGGAGUCCUGGCAGAGAAGAGGUGGCUCGGCUGUUCGGACAGGAGCGCAGGCGUUCUCAAGUCAUUGGGCGAUUUGAAGAGGGUCAGCCUGUAGAGCGCAUGGACACGAGCAGCUCCCAUGAGCACUCCGCUAACACCACGCUAAUCCAGAGACAAGGCCGCAGUGAGAGGCGCUAUCUGGCUAACAAACAUGAGAUGUCACUGGAUGCAGGAAAAGAUCGUUCAGUCCCUGACGUGUCCAGCUCCACCUUUGCUAAUUUAAGAAGAGCCAAGUCCCUGGACCGCAGAGUCACCGAGUCCUCAAUGACUCCGGAUCUGCUGAACUUCAAAAAAGGAUGGAUGACAAAGCUGUAUGAAGACGGAAUGUGGAAGAAACACUGGUUUGUCCUGACAGAUCAGAGUUUGAGGUACUACAAGGACUCAAUAGCCGAGGAGGCUUCAGAUCUGGAUGGGGAGAUUGACCUCUCCACAUGUUAUGAUGUCAAAGAGUUCCCGGUCCAGAGGAAUUAUGGCUUCCAAAUCCUGUGUAAGGAGGGAGUGUGCACCCUGUCAGCCAUGACCUCUGGAAUCCGUCGCAACUGGAUUCAGGCCAUUAUGAAGAAUGUGCGACCAACUAUUGCCCCCGAUGUCACCCGGAAAAACAUCACUCUGAAACUAUCCGUUCUGAAGCCCAGAUCCUUCCCUGUGGAGAAGACAAAGGCCAACGUGAUGUUGGAGCCUUGUCCACAAGCCACCCCUGAGCCAAGAUCCAGUCCUGUGACUCCCAAGUCUGAUGUUCAAAGACAGCUAGCUUGCAACAAUGCCUCUGCUCCUCCCUCUGAGCCCCUUAAAAGCCGAGUUCGUGAGCGCAGGCGAGAGGGCCGCUCCAAGACUUUUGACUGGUCUGAGUUCAAAAUGGAACAGAUCGAAAAGCCUGCAAAGGAACGAGCAGACACAGUCGACCUCAGCUCAUCAUGUUCCACAACAUCCUCAUAUUGCUCUCCCUCCUCUUCCCCUUCCUCUAUAGCGUCCUCUCCAGUCUCUACAUCCUCCAUCCAAACCUCUUCCGUUUCAGGUGCUCGGCCACCUUCUAUGACCGUAGAAGCAGAAAAGGAGAGUGUUGUGAGGGGUGAGAGUGUCCCUCUACAUAGCACAACCAGUGCAACCCACAUGCCAAAUACUGUCACUGUUACCAUGAUCUCCAUGCUAAACACUACAUCACCGGUACAGCCAUCGAUACCUGAAUGCCUAGAGCAAGGAAAGAUGGAAGUAGAUCACCCUACGGCCAUGCGUCCUGCCAGUGAAGAUAAGGACAGCAGAACGUCAGGUGUCCGAGAAGAGAUUGAGCAACGAUGGCAUCAGGUGGAGACAACACCGUUAAGAGAAGAGAAACAAGUGCCCAUCAACACAGCUUCAGGAAACUCUGGUUACUCUGACAGAUUGCCUGCACAUGAGCUUGCUGCGCUGCUAGACAAAGAGUUGGGACAGAAGCAGCAGGAGCUGGACCGACUACAGAAGCAAAACAACGUUUUAAAAGAGCAGUUGGAAGAUGCUCUAGGUAGAGAACAAAGUGCCAGAGCUGGCUAUGUGCUACAGAGUGCAACAGCCUCUUCCUCCACGGUGCCAUGUCAACGCCUGCACAAGCUUAAUGAAGAUUUGCAGGGUGAGUUGGAGACCCAAAAGCGCAAGCAGGACCUUGCUCAGCAGCAGAUUCGGACACUAAAAAGAAGCUACACAGAGGCCCAGCAUGCUGUAGACCACCAUGAGUCUGGUAUUCAGGCUCUUCAAGCCAAACUAGCAUCUGCAAUGGCUGAAAUCUUGGCCAGUGAACAGGCUGUGGCCAGAAUGCGGAAUGAGCUCAAGCUUGAGCAGCAGCGUUCAAAGGAACAAGAAGAGGAAUAUAGUCAUGGUGAGGCCACCCUACGGGCCCAGCUUAAGGACAGUGAAGAAAGACUCCGUGAAGUAGAAGCCAGCCUCUUGGAGAGAAGCCAGGCCCUUAGGCACCUGGAGCGCCAGCAGGCCCUGCAACGAGACCACACAAGAGAAAUACAGAGGCUGCAGGAGAUGCUGCAAGAGGUGACCGCUCGGCAAAGUGCUACUGAAAAGGGUCAUGCCCUGAAAGAGGAGCGCCUGAGGAAGGAGCAGCAUAGCAUGCAAGAUAGUCAUGAGAGGGAAAGACAGAAUUUUUGUAGAAGAUUAGCUGAGGCUGAAACUGCACAGAACGAGAUGGAGAACAGACUGCUGGAGGCUAAGCAGCAGGUGGAGGCCCUGUUAAGAGGGAGACAGGCCUCUGGAGGAAAGGAAUGCAGGGAGGAAAUACUGAAGUUACAAGAGGAGCUGACCCAGAAGACCGACAUGGUAGAGUCACUAAGGGAGAGUGUGCGUAGGCUAGAAGAAGAGAAAAAACAUCUCACUUGCCGCUGUCAGGAGCUUCUUAACCAGAUUGCAGAAGCAGACCGUGAGGUGAAUAAGCUCCGCAAUCGUCUGGAAACGGAAGAGGCUGAUUACUACACCCUGGAGCACUCAUAUGAGAGGGCGACCCAAGAGUUUCAGAAAAUGAGCCGGUUCCUUGGAGAGAAAGAGGAAGAGAUCCGACAUACCAAGGAGAUGUAUGAGAGGCUAGUGGAACGCAAGGAAGAGGACUUGAAAGAGGCCCUUGUUAAAAUGGCUGCACUUGGCAACAGCUUGGAGGAAACCGAACAAAAGUUGCAAGCUAAGGAGGAGCUUCUUUGUCAAAUGAGUCAAAGCAUUUUAGAUAAGGCUGAGCCCUGUAGUGCUGAAAAGGAUCUGCAAGCUAAGCUUGUGGUUGCAGAGGACCGCAUAGCGGAGCUAGAGCAGCAUCUCAAUGCCCUGCAGCUGGGCUAUGCUGACCUACGCAUGGAAAGGCAGCAAAUCCCAGACCAGAGCAAGAAGGCCAGGCUUAAAACAUCAGCCUCCUUAUCAGCAAACGCGGAACUCUUACUUUCGUUUGACAAUACAUCCAACACAGCCAACUCCCCAGAUGAUAAGGAGUCUCAAGCUAAGAGACCAAGGAUACGUUUUUCCAGUAUUCAUUGCCAAAAAUACAUAAAUCUAGAGGGCCUGGACACAAGCCAUGUGAACACUGCCUUUUCAGACCCAAGACAAACUGUGAACCAGGAUGUAGAUGAAGACCUCCAUCUAAGUGAAGGAAACAUUUCCUCGGAUAUUCCUUUCUCUCACAGUAGUGACCCAGAGAAGUUUAUCGCCAUCGUACAUGCUCUAGAGACUAAACUGCUAGCCACAGAGGAUAAACUAAGACACCUCACACAGAAUCUAGAAGAGCAACGAUCCAUCCAAGCAGAAGACAUGUCCAAGAUUGAUCUGAAGAUGACUGAAACAAAGCCUAACCCUAAUAAGGAUAUCAGUUGUGGAAGUGGGAUACAGAGUAGUGCUGCCAAUAAGCAUUAUGCCAAGGCUCUGGUGUGUGUGGAAAAUAGUCGAGAGAAAGUCAGAACUAUUCUCAGUGGCUCUCAUGAUACCACUGGUUCACAGCUGCACUCAUUGUCAGAGAUAGAGAAUGAUUUGUUCAAUGCAUCACUGUACAUCCGACAAGGACAAAAGACGUUGGAAGAACAAUCACCAGUUGUCCACCAAAAUCAAAUCCCAGAGACUCUAGAUAAAGAAGCCUUGCAUCUCUUUGCUAAAACAUUAUCGUUUGAAGCAAUUGUUUUGAACAAAAUGGCUUUGUUGAUACAGACUUCAAAGUCUGACCUCCUACAAUCCCUUGCAGAGAUAUGGGAAGACAUGGAGAACUUUAAAGGGGGUGACAAAGAUUGCUUGGCUAUAGUUUACGCUGAUGUCUUAACCAGGAAGUUGAUGUUAGAAAGUGCAUUCUGGACAGACUUGGAGAAAGCUGAGACGGAUGUAGCUGAAUCCAAAGAGGGCAGCGUUUCAGCUGAUGUAGAUGUUGAUGCCACAGUUAUAUUUAACACCUUUGUUAAAGCAGAGCUGGCCUACUCUAUUCAAAACCUUAAACUUUGCUAUGAGGAAAAAUUCAAAGUACUGAAAAGGGAGUUGACUGACGCACACGAUAACCUGCAUCAAAGGGAAAUGGCUCUGAAAGCAAUUAUUGAAGCUUCCAAAAGGCCUGAUUUGAAAAAUGUAAUAAAAGAAGUCAAAAAUAACUUUGGGUUUAGUAAAAAAAAGUUAGCUGACAUUCGCCCCCCUGAACUUGCUCCCUACAUGGAGCAGAUUGAAAUGGAAGAGGCUAGAGGCUUGGCUGAGGAAAUCAUUGACAGACAUUUGCCUGGAGAAAUGCCCUCUUGUGGGGUUGACUCUAUAGAAUCGCUGCAAAAUGCACAUGACAACCUGGCUAAUGAGCUUCAAAGACAAGCAUUAAUCCUCCAUAAGUAUGCCCAAGAGAUAGAAAGUGGUGGAAACCACCCUGGACUGGCUAAAAUGAUCCAUGCUCUUUUUGGCCACCAAACUUCACAUCAUUUCACAAGUACCUCUCUCUGUAUGCGCGAAGCCCUAAUCCAAGCUCAAGUGGCUUAUGUGGCAUGCAGGUUACGGGCCAUGCACGAACAAGACUUGGGCUGGUGUAAACAGACGGGUCAGAACAUGGAUGAUCUCGUCCAGCAGCACGCCCGCAAUGUCAGCGCAAUCCAAGAGAAAUAUGAAGCAUCCUUACAGGAUGAGCACCUCAACUUCACACAAACCGUUUCCACUCUCCAGAAGGAGAACCAUACACUGAAGAGUGAGAUCAGUAAGCGUGUGAACCAGCUAUCCCAGCAGCAGGAGCAACUGGCUCUCCUGGAGGAGCGUUUUCAGAGGGAGACAGAAGCGCUGAAGCAGAGGCACAAGCAAGAGCUAAGCCACGCAGAGAAAGGACGCGUCUCAACUGAUCUGGCCCUCAUGGAAACGACAGCUGACAGUCAACAAAAGCUAGAAGUUUUGCUGGUGGACAUGGACACCAUGGAGGAGCGCCACGAGGGUCAUGUGAGGAAAUUGGAGGAGCAGUUUGAGCAGCGGAUCUGUGAGCUCCAGCAUAUCCACAAACAGGAGAUUAAAAAGUUACAUUCUGAGUAUAUGGAAAACAUUCAGUGUAUCCAAAAGCACCAACAGGAUGAAAAAGGUCCUGGGGUUUCCGACUCGCCUCCUUAUGAUGAGGUUGCCACACCAAUGGAAGAGGAGGAGCAGGGGAAGGGGGAAGAUGCACUAAUCAUGUCAGAGAUGGACUCUAUGGUGGUCCUGAAGGACCGCAUCCAGGAGCUGGAGGCUCAGAUGAGCACCAUGAAGGACGAACUGGAGAGCAAGCACCUAGAAGGAGAUGUGGCCAGCCUGAGACAGAAAUACCAGAGAGACUUUGAAAGUCUUAAGGCCACGUGUGAACGUGGCUUUGCAGCAAUGGAAGACACACACCAGAAGCUAAUACAUGACCUCCAGAGGCAACAUCAGAGGGAGAUUUCCAAACUUAUGGAAGAGCGAGAGAGACUCUUGGCUGAGGAGACUGCUGCCACAAUUGCUGCUAUUGAAGCGAUGAAGAAUGCCCACAAGGAGGAGCUGGAGAAGACCCAUCGUUCCCAACUGAGUGGAGUGAACUCGGAUAUCGAUGAACUUCGCUUACAAUAUGAGGAGGAGCUGCAGUCCAUCCACAGAGAACUGGAGGUGUUGUCAGAGCAAUACUCUCAGAAAUGUCUGGAGAACGCUCACCUGGCCCAGGCACUGGAGGCCGAGAGGCAGGCCCUCCGCCAGUGUCAGAGAGAGAACCAGGAGCUAAACGCUCACAACCAGGAAUUAAAUAACCGACUGACUACAGAGAUCACACGGAUGCGCUCCUGUUUCAGUGGUGAAACAGCGCUGUCACCACUUACCCAGGGCAAAGAUGUGUAUGAAUUGGAGGUGUUGCUACGAAUUAAGGAGUCUGAGAUCCAGUAUCUUAAACAAGAAAUCCACUCAUUGAAAGAUGAACUGCAGUCUGCUUUAAGGGACAAGAAAUAUGCCACAGACAAAUAUAAGGACAUCUAUACAGAGCUCAGCAUUGUGAAAGCAAAGGCGGACUGCGACAUCUGCAAAUUGAAGGAGAAGCUGCUCAUUGCCACAGAAGCUUUAGGCGAGAGGACUGUCGAUGGAACGGUCACAUCUGGAUACGAUAUCAUGAAAUCAAAAAGUAAUCCUGAUUUCCUGAAAAAGGAACGCUCAACAACCUCCAAGCAAUCAAGAGGCAUAAGGUCAAAGUCUGUCACUGAACAGGUCUCAUGGGAUAGCUGACACUCCCAUUGUGGGGUGAUUUCCCCCCCCCCCAACCCCCGCCCCAAGAUGUGCUAGCCUGAAAGAGGGACUAACUGUGCAGGAGCGUAUGAAGCUUUUUGAGGCAAAGGAUUCCAAAAAGAUUUGAUGAAUAUCAAGAAUCUGAAGUUUUGUUUCUCUUUCCUGACCUUGGCUUUUGGUCAGAUUGCUACGGCCGUGCCAGCAUCAGCUGAAGACUCUUAUAGGAAAGGGGGGGGGGGGUGGGGAUCUAUCAAGGUUAAUUCAAAACCUGGACCUGCUGCUUCCAUGCAAGGUGUCAUAUUUUUUUGAUUUUUGUCUUUUAAUUAAUGAAAACAAGUUCUACUGAAUAAAUCCUGUGUAGGGUUUAUUAUAAAAAAAUCAAUAGAUGUAUAAUCUGUCCAACAUGGAGAUGUGUCAAAUAAGCUUUGAGAGGGAUACAAGACAACAUUUUUAUUGAUCCUCCAAAAUGCCAAAACAGACAGCAAUACACAGUAUGAAUAAUAUAUAUUUCCCAAUAUGAAUUAAGUAUCUGCUGUAUUUUAUUAUUGUUACAGUUUCUAUAUCAUAAUUUUUAAUGUUUUUAAUGUUGCACCAGUUCUGUUGUACAUAACUGCUGGAUAUAUGUGUUGGAGUAUGGUUUGCUAUUGAGUGUUGGGGCAUCUGCUGUACUAGAACUAUGGUUUGAUUGACAGUGGAGAACAAUGUGACGCUUAACGUGCUUAUGUAUGAGAGAGUUUUAAAAUGGCGUGUCUGUGUGUGAAGGGGGAAACGGGGGGGGAUUGCACUUAACACAUGACUACUUGGAGGAAGCUUUUUUUUUUUUUUUUUUUUAAUUUGUCUCAAAUUGGUGUAGUGACUUUAAUUCAAUUAUUGCAGUGCAACCAAACAUCCUGACUUGUGUCAAUAUUAGUGAACAACCAGGACUUGUUAGUGAUACUGGAUUUUUUUUUAAACUUGGAGUUGUGUUUGCUCAGUUUUUACUUUGGUGUGAGAAUAUCGUCUCGGAAAUACCGGAAUUAUUUAGGACUUUGCAUGCCUGUACAGUAUCACAUUGAAUUGCAGAAUGAUCAUGUUGCCUCAUCUUCCUACUUUAUGCUUCAGUGUGGAACUCUUAACACUAAUAAGCUUUGCUUUGCAAGUCCUACUGUUUAGGUGUUGAGAGUUUAAUGUUUUACUGUAAGCGGCAGUCUUGAAGCACUUGGCCCAAUUCCCGACCUCUCACUGAAAUCUAGUCGUGCCUCAACUGAGUGAAGAAUAUAACUAUCCAUGAAACCUGUGCAGCUAUGGAUACACACUGUCUAGUAUUCAAACCACGCCUUGUACAUAUAUAUGCCACACGGAAGACUUCUGUGUUUUGUUUUAAACUUAUACUUGCUCACUAGCUCUAUAUGAAAUAUAUAUGAAUAUUUUUUAUUUUAAUUUGAAUGUAUGAUGUCAAAUAAAUGAAGUGUUUGGAAA